rnacentral:rRNA from 1 species
UGGAGAGUUUGAUCCUGGCUCAGGACGAACGCUGGCGGCGUGCUUAACACAUGCAAGUCGAGCGGUAAGGCCCUUCGGGGUACACGAGCGGCGAACGGGUGAGUAACACGUGGGUGAUCUGCCUCGCACUCUGGGAUAAGCCUGGGAAACUGGGUCUAAUACCGGAUACGACCAGGAGMUGCAUGKYUCKUGGUGGAAAGGUUUACUGGUGCGAGAUGGGCCCGCGGCCUAUCAGCUUGUUGGUGGGGUAACGGCCUACCAAGGCGACGACGGGUAGCCGACCUGAGAGGGUGACCGGCCACACUGGGACUGAGACACGGCCCAGACUCCUACGGGAGGCAGCAGUGGGGAAUAUUGCACAAUGGGCGAAAGCCUGAUGCAGCGACGCCGCGUGAGGGAUGACGGCCUUCGGGUUGUAAACCUCUUUCGACAGGGACGAAGCGCAAGUGACGGUACCUGUAGAAGAAGCACCGGCCAACUACGUGCCAGCAGCCGCGGUA